CUACGGGCCGCUGCAGUGGGGAAUAUUGGACAAUGGGCGCAAGCCUGAUCCAGCAAUGCCGCGUGAGUGAAGACGGCCUUAGGGUUGUAAAACUCUUUCGCUAGGGAAGAUAAUGACUGUACCUAGUAAAGAAGUCCCGGCUAACUCCGUGCCAGCAGCCGCGGUAAUACGGAGGGGACUAGCGUUGUUCGGAAUUACUGGGCGUAAAGAGUUCGUAGGCGGACUGACAAGUUAGAGGUGAAAUCCCAGGGCUCAACCCUGGAACUGCCUUUAAAACUGUCAGUCUAGAGACCGGAAGAGGUUAGGGGAAUACCUAGUGUAGAGGUGAAAUUCGUAGAUAUUAGGUGGAACACCAGUGGCGAAGGCGCCUAACUGGUCCGGUACUGACGCUGAGGAACGAAAGCGUGGGGAGCAAACAGGAUUAGAUACCCGAGUAGUC
rnacentral:rRNA from 1 species